rnacentral:rRNA from 1 species
UGGGGAAUUUUGGACAAUGGGCGAAAGCCUGAUCCAGCAAUGCCGCGUGUGUGAAGAAGGCCUUCGGGUUGUAAAGCACUUUUGUCCGGAAAGAAAUCCUUGGCUCUAAUACAGUCGGGGGAUGACGGUACCGGAAGAAUAAGCACCGGCUAACUACGUGCCAGCAGCCGCGGUAAUACGUAGGGUGCAAGCGUUAAUCGGAAUUACUGGGCGUAAAGCGUGCGCAGGCGGUUUGCUAAGACCGAUGUGAAAUCCCCGGGCUCAACCUGGGAACUGCAUUGGUGACUGGCAGGCUAGAGUAUGGCAGAGGGGGGUAGAAUUCCACGUGUAGCAGUGAAAUGCGUAGAGAUGUGGAGGAAUACCGAUGGCGAAGGCAGCCCCCUGGGCCAAUACUGACGCUCAUGCACGAAAGCGUGGGGAGCAAACAGGAUUAGAUACCCUGGUAGUCCACGCCCUAAACGAUGUCAACUAGUUGUUGGGGAUCAUUCCUUAGUAACGUAGCUAACGCGUGAAGUUGACCGCCUGGGGAGUACGGUCGCAAGAUUAAAACUCAAAUGAAUUGACGGGGUCAUAGCUGUUUCCU